CCUACGGGAGGCUGCAGUGGGGAAUAUUGGACAAUGGGGGCAACCCUGAUCCAGCCAUGCCGCGUGUGUGAAGAAGGCCCUCGGGUUGUAAAGCACUUUCAGUGAGGAAGAACGCCUGGUGGUUAAUACCCAUCAGGAAAGACAUCACUCACAGAAGAAGCACCGGCUAACUCCGUGCCAGCAGCCGCGGUAAUACGGAGGGUGCGAGCGUUAAUCGGAAUUACUGGGCGUAAAGCGCGCGUAGGUGGCUUGAUAAGCCGGUUGUGAAAGCCCCGGGCUCAACCUGGGAACGGCAUCCGGAACUGUCAAGCUAGAGUGCAGGAGAGGAAGGUAGAAUUCCCGGUGUAGCGGUGAAAUGCGUAGAGAUCGGGAGGAAUACCAGUGGCGAAGGCGGCCUUCUGGACUGACACUGACACUGAGGUGCGAAAGCGUGGGUAGCAAACAGGAUUAGAUACCCCUGUAGUU
rnacentral:rRNA from 1 species